CAGCUGCCGCGGUAAUACCAGCCCCGCGAGUGGUCGGGACGGUUAUUGGGCCUAAAGCGCCCGUAGCCGGCCCGGCAAGUCCCUCCUUAAAGCCUCGGGCCCAACCCGAGGACGGGGGGGAUACUGCCGGGCUAGGGGGCGGGAGAGGCCGGCGGUACUCCCGGGGUAGGGGCGAAAUCCGUUAAUCCCGGGAGGACCACCAGUGGCGAAGGCGGCCGGCUGGAACGCGCCCGACGGUGAGGGGCGAAAGCCGGGGGAGCGAACCGGAUUAGAUACCCGGGUAGUCCCGGCUGUAAACGAUGCGGGCUAGCUGUUGGGCGGGCUUAGAGCCCGCCCAGUGGCGCAGGGAAGCCGUUAAGUCCGCCGCCUGGGGAGUACGGCCGCAAGGCUGAAACUUAAAGGAAUUGGCGGG
rnacentral:rRNA from 1 species